CGGCGUUUUUGGGGCAUGAAAACGCAUAAAUCUGAAACCACCCUCCAGAGUGUAAAAGCUGAAUACGCUCCGCCGUAGCGUUUCCGUCUACACUGCCAAGACGCAAAACUCUGCUCAGAUCUGCUCACGUCGCGUGCGCGUUUACGUCACAUACAUGUGCCAGUACAAGGAAAUAAUCAAACAUGUCAGAUUAUUUCCAUGCGUCGGACCUUCAAGCUGCUCUGGCAGCUCUAACAAGCAUACAGGAGUCUUUCCACGAAAUGUACAGGAUAUGUACAGAUAGUGUUACUGAACAGAGAAGGAUCUUUUUGUUUUUUGCGGCAAGGAUAAGAGAAGAAGGAAGAUUCUACGCAUGCGCUGAGACAUGACGGUGUUGUGAUAGUGUAUCACAGCACCACCUAGCCGCCUGGCAUGCAUACCCAAUUGAAUUCCACACACUUUAGCGUGUGCACGCAGAUUUCUUCCCGAAAACGCUUGUCUAAACGCGGAAUAAAAAGUGAAGACGCGACGCCACUUUUGCGUCUUCUGUUCAGACCGUCAUCGUGUAAACGUAGCCUUAAGAUCAUUCACAUCAUCAAGAUGUGCCACAAGAACGCUUCAAUGGGCGACUGCUUGCAUAAUAAUCCCAAAAUAUGGUUGUGUAACUGGGCUGUCCACAUCGCUGCAAUGAACAGCAGCCUGAAGCUGCCCUGAAGUUGUCCCCUGAAGUUGUCCUGAAGCUGUCACCUGGAGCUGUCCCCUGAAGUUGUCCCCAAAAGCUGCCCUGAAGUUGUCACCAAAAGCUGCCCUGAAGCUGUCCCCUGAAGCUGUCCCCUGAAGCUGUUCUGAAGCUGUUCUGAAGCUGUUCUGAAGCUAUGCUUAAGCUGUGCCCUGAAGCUCUGUCCUGAAGCUGUGCUGAAGCUGUCCCCUGAAGCUGUCCUGAAGCUUUCCCCUGAAGCUGUGCUGAAGUUGUCCCCCAAAGCUGUCCUGAAGCUUUCCCCUGAGGCUGUCCUGAAUAUGUGCUGAAGUUUUCCCCUGAAGUUUUCCUGAAGCUGUCCUGAAGCUGUCCCUUGAAGCUGUCCUGAAGCUGUUCUCUGAAGCUGUCCCCUGAAGCUGUCCGGAAGCUGUCCCCUGUAGCUGUCUCUGGGGCUUUCAGUGGUGGAGACAGGGUGCUUGCACCAACGUUGGAAGCUGGUGAUGCAUCAGCUCUUCUGAACCCAAGCUGGAGGGAGACUGAUGAAGGACAGCGCUGCACGUCAAAUGAUGAGAAACCAAAUAUCCAAACCUGAUUCUCACUUGUUAGAUAUUCGUAUCCACUCAUGUCACAUUGAUACUGUAUCGCUUGGUAUGUCCCAAAAAACAUGUGUGGCGACAUAUCAACAUUUCUAUAAAAAUACUAAUUAUACUUAUUAAAUGUAGUAUUUUAAUAUUGAUGUUGAUGUAUUGUUGGAUAUAUUUUGUUAUCAUAUGAUUGGGACUAGGUUCACAGGAGAUAUCUGUUGUCAUUGUAACCAGGUGUACAGUAGUUAUUUGCUGUUGUCAUGGUGACCAGGUGUACAGUAGUUAUGUGCUGUCGUGGUGACCAGGUGUACAGUAGUUAUGGGUGGUUGUUAUCAUCGUGACCAGGUAUACAGUAUAUGUUUUCGUCAUGGUGACCAGGUGUACAGUAGUUAUGUGCUGUAGUCAUAGUGAUGAGGUAUAAAGUAGUGAUGAAGUAGUGAUGUAUAAAGUAGUGAUGUAUUCUUUGUUAUGGGUGGUUGUUAUCAUCGUGACCAGGUGUACAGUAGUUAUGUGCUGUUGUCAUAGUGAUGAGGUAUAAAGUAGUGAUGUAUUCUUUGCCACAUCACUACUAUACCAGCUGUAUAGUAGUGAUGUGGUGUUGUCGUGGUGACCAGGUGUAUAGUAGGGAUUUGCUGUUGUCAUGGUGACCAGGUGCACAGUGGUGAUGUGCUGUUGUCAAGGUGAUCAGGUGCAAAGUAGUGAUGUGCUGUUUGUCAUGGUGACCAGGUG